rnacentral:rRNA from 1 species
GACGAACGCUGGCGGCGUGCUUAACACAUGCAAGUCGAACGGAAAGGCCCUGCUUUUGUGGGGUGCUCGAGUGGCGAACGGGUGAGUAACACGUGAGUAACCUGCCCUUGACUUUGGGAUAACUUCAGGAAACUGGGGCUAAUACCGGAUAGGAGCUCCUGCUGCAUGGUGGGGGUUGGAAAGUUUCGGCGGUUGGGGAUGGACUCGCGGCUUAUCAGCUUGUUGGUGGGGUAGUGGCUUACCAAGGCUUUGACGGGUAGCCGGCCUGAGAGGGUGACCGGCCACCAUGGGACUAAGGGACGGCCCAGACUCCUACGGUAGGCAGCAGUGGGGAGUAUUGCACAGUGGGCCGAAGCCUGAUGCGGCGACGCCGCGUGCGGGAUGACGGCCUUCGGGUUGUAAACCGCUUUCGCCUGUGACGAAGCGUGAGUGACGGUAAUGGGUAAAGAAGCACCGGCUAACUACGUG